rnacentral:rRNA from 1 species
UACGGAGGGUGCAAGCGUUAUCCGGAUUCACUGGGUUAAAGGGUGCGUAGGUGGGUUGGUAAGUCAGUGGUGAAAUCCCCGAGCUUAACUUGGGAACUGCCAUUGAUACUAUCAGUCUUGAAUACCGUGGAGGUCAGCGGAAUAUGUCAUGUAGCGGUGAAAUGCUUAGAUAUGACAUAGAACACCAAUUGCGAAGGCAGCUGGCUACACGGAUAUUGACACUGAGGCACGAAAGCGUGGGGAUCAAACAGGA